rnacentral:lncRNA from 1 species
AAUCACAUAAAGCUCUGUACAUUCAUUUUUGGGGCAAUUGUUUAUAUAUUUCUGAAAUGUUUCAGACUUUCUAAUUUAUCUUUUUUAGAAGACUAAUAUUAAAAUUACUUUUUUAACGUUUCAAGUUAUUUCAAAUAUACCCUGUAGUUAAAUUUCUAUUAGUACACGGUUAGUAACAACCGUUAUCUCUAUAAAAUAAUUAUUUUGUCUUUUCAAAUAUACUCUUCUAUCAUCACCAACUUUUUUCAUUUGUCCUUAAGUUAGAGACAAAAUAAGUACUUUGGUUUUUUAUCUUUUCAAAUAUAUUAUUUUACCAUUACCGACUUUUCUUAUUUGCCCUUAAAUUAAGGGCGAAAAAAUAUUUUGAUUUUUUUUAAACUCUGAUAAACAUUUAACUCAUGUUUAACUCGAGAUAACUUAACGGAUGGUAACUGUGGAGAUAUAUUUGAAUUACGGAAGAACAUAUGAGGGGCAUAUUUGAAAAAAGAGAGAGGAUAAAUUAGAUAUUUUUGAAGUUUUGAAGGAUAUAUGGACAAUUAUCCUUUUUUCUAAAAAUCUCACACUGUAAUGGCAACUUAGGCUUCAUUUGAAAUUGCAAAGAGAUUGUGUUAUGUACGGUGAAAAAGUGCAAAAGAAAAAUAUCAUUAUUGUUUUUGUACGUAAUAUUAUGUUUCGCAUAUUACAAUAUAUUUUCUGCGAUCUAAGGGUGUGUUUGGUUCCACGUAAAACUGUGGAAAAAAAAUUUUCUGUGAAAAAAAAGUUUUCGGUGGAAAAAAUAUUUUACAUUGUUUAUGUUUGGUUCGUAGGAAAAGAAAAGUAAUUUUCCGAGAAAGUUGUUUGGUUGAAAGGAAAAAAAUUAUAAAUAAAAAUUAUUAUAUAUAUUUUUUAUUUUACAUAUUUUAUAUUAUUAAUAUAUAAUUAUUAUCAUAUUCUAUAUAUUAGUAUUAUAGUUUAUAUUUAUAAAUAAAAUAUAUUUAAAAUAUAUUAUGCAAUAAUUAAAUAUAUAAUAUAAUAUAUAAUAGUAAUAAAUUACUACAUAUAAAAUAUUAUAUAAUAAAUAUAUUUAUAAAUAAAAUAUUAUUUUUAAAAUAUAUAUAUAUAUUUUAUAUAUAUUAUAUAUAUUAUAUAUAAAAAAAAA